AACGAACGCUGGCGGCAUGCCUAACACAUGCAAGUCGAACGAUGCUUUCGGGCAUAGUGGCGCACGGGUGCGUAACGCGUGGGAAUCUGCCCUGGGGUUCGGGAUAACAGCGGGAAACUGCUGCUAAUACCGGAUGAUAUCGCGAGAUCAAAGAUUUAUCGCCCUGGGAUGAGCCCGCGUCGGAUUAGGUAGUUGGUGGGGUAAGAGCCUCCCAAGCCGACGAUCCGUAGCUGGUCUGAGAGGAUGAUCAGCCACACUGGGACUGAGACACGGCCCAGACUCCUACGGGAGGCAGCAGUGGGGAAUAUUGGACAAUGGGCGCAAGCCUGAUCCAGCAAUGCCGCGUGAGUGAUGAAGGCCUUAGGGUUGUAAAGCUCUUUUACCCGGGAUGAUAAUGACAGUACCGGGAGAAUAAGCCCCGGCUAACUCCGUG
rnacentral:rRNA from 1 species